rnacentral:rRNA from 1 species
AACGAACGCUGGCGGCGUGGAUAAGACAUGCAAGUCGAACGAGAGAAUUGCUAGCUUGCUAAUAAUUCUCUAGUGGCGCACGGGUGAGUAACACGUGAGUAACCUGCCCCCGAGAGCGGGAUAGCCCUGGGAAACUGGGAUUAAUACCGCAUAGUAUCGAAAGAUUAAAGCAGCAAUGCGCUUGGGGAUGGGCUCGCGGCCUAUUAGUUAGUUGGUGAGGUAACGGCUCACCAAGGCGAUGACGGGUAGCCGGUCUGAGAGGAUGUCCGGCCACACUGGAACUGAGACACGGUCCAGACACCUACGGGUGGCAGCAGUCGAGAAUCAUUCACAAUGGGGGAAACCCUGAUGGUGCGACGCCGCGUGGGGGAAUGAAGGUCUUCGGAUUGUAAACCCCUGUCAUGUGGGAGCAAAUAAAAAGAUAGUA